AGUGAACGCUGGCGGCAGGCCUAACACAUGCAAGUCGAACGGCAGCGCACUUCGGGGUUCCGCCUACGGGGGGCGGGUGGCGUACUGCUGAGGAAUGUGCCGGAUCGUGGUGGUUAAUGGGGCAUAACCUUGGGAAAUUUCCCCUACUACCGCCGACUAAAAACGGGGGACAGCAGGGCCUCUUCCGACCGUGGGCGCAGAUGGCAGCUUAGGUCGUUGGUGGGAUAAAACCUUACCAAGCCGACGAUCUGUAGCUGGUCUGAGAGGAUGAUCAGCCACACUGGAACUGAGACACGGCCCAGACUCCUACGGGAGGCAGCAGUGGGGAAUAUUGGACAAUGGGCGCAAGCCUGAUCCAGCCAUACCGCGUGGAGGAUGAAGGCCUUCGGGUUGUAAACUGCUUUUGUACGGAAAGAAAAGCCUUCGUUUAAUACAGGGGGGUUAUGACGGUACCGUAAGAAUAAGCACCGGCUAACUACGUG
rnacentral:rRNA from 1 species